rnacentral:rRNA from 1 species
GUGGGGAAUAUUGGACAAUGGACGCAAGUCUGAUCCAGCCAUGCCGCGUGAGUGAUGAAGGCCUUCGGGUUGUAAAGCUCUUUAGCCGAUGAUUAUAAUGACUGUAGUCGGAAAAUAAGCCCCGGCUAACUUCGUGCCAGCAGCCGCGGUAAUACGAAGGGGGCGAGCGUUAUUCGGAAUCACUGGGCGUAAAGCGUGCGUAGGCGGUUUUGUAAGUUGGGAGUGAAAGCCCAGUGCUCAACCCUGGAAUUGCUCUCAAAACUACAAGACUUGAAUUCGGGAGAGGAUAGCGGAAUUGUCAGUGUAGCAGUGAAAUGCGUAGAUAUUGACAGGAACACCAGUGGCGUAAGCGGCUAUCUGGACCGACAUUGACGCUGAGGCACGAAAGCGUGGGGAUCAAACAGGAUUAGAUACCCUUGUAGUCC